rnacentral:rRNA from 1 species
AGAGUUUGAUCAUGGCUCAGGAUGAACGCUAGCUACAGGCUUAACACAUGCAAGUCGAGGGGCAGCAUUAUCGAAGCUUGCUUUGAUAGAUGGCGACCGGCGCACGGGUGAGUAACGCGUAUCCAACCUUCCCCAUAGUCAGGAAUAGCCCGGCGAAAGUCGAAUUAAUGCCUGAUGUUUUCCACGGACGGCAUCUGAUGUGGAACAAAGAUUGAUCGCUAUGGGAUGGGGAUGCGUCUGAUUAGCUUGUUGGCGGGGUAACGGCCCACCAAGGCAACGAUCAGUAGGGGUUCUGAGAGGAAGGUCCCCCACAUUGGAACUGAGACACGGUCCAAACUCCUACGGGAGGCAGCAGUGAGGAAUAUUGGUCAAUGGGCGGAAGCCUGAACCAGCCAAGUAGCGUGAGGGAUGACUGCCCUAUGGGUUGUAAACCUCUUUUAUAAGGGAAUAAAAUACGGGACGUGUCCUGUUUUGCAUGUACCUUAUGAAUAAGGACCGGCUAAUUCCGUGCCAGCAGCCGCGGUAAUACGGAAGGUCCGGGCGUUAUCCGGA